rnacentral:rRNA from 1 species
UNUGACUUGAGUGCAGAAGGGGAGAGUGGAAUUCCAUGUGUAGCGGUGAAAUGCGUAGAUAUAUGGAGGAACACCAGUGGCGAAAGCGGCUCUCUGGUCUGUCACUGACGCUGAGGCUNGAAAGCGUGGGUAGCGAACAGGAUUAGAUACCCUGGUAGUCCACGCCGUAAACGAUGAGUGCUAGGUGUUAGGCCCUUUCCGGGGCUUAGUGCCGGAGCUAACGCAAUAAGCACUCCGCCUGGGGAGUACGACCGCAAGGUUGAAACUCAAAGGAAUUGACGGGGGCCCGCACAAGCGGUGGAGCAUGUGGUUUAAUUCGAAGCAACGCGAAGAACCUUACCAGGUCUUGACAUCCCGAUGCUAUUCUUAGAGAUAGGAAGUUACUUCGGUACAUCGGAGACAGGUGGUGCAUGGUUGUCGUCAGCUCGUGUCGUGAGAUGUUGGGUUAAGUCCCGCAACGAGCGCAACCCUUAUUGUUAGUUGCCAUCAUUAAGUUGGGCACUCUAGCGAGACUGCCGGUAAUAAACCGGAGGAAGGUGGGGAUGACGUCAAAUCAUCAUGCCCCUUAUGACCUGGGCUACACACGCGCUACAAUGGUCGGUACAACGAGUUGCGAGCCGGUGACGGCAAGCUAAUCUCUGAAAGCCGAUCUCAGUUCGGAUUGGAGGCUGCAACUCGCCUCCAUGAAGUCGGAAUCGCUAGUAAUCGCGGAUCAGCACGCCGCGGUGAAUACGUUCCCGGGCCUUGUACACACCGCCCGUCACACCACGAGAGUUUGUAACACCCGAAGUCGGUGAGGUAACCUUUAGGGGCCAGCCGCCUAAGGNGGGA